rnacentral:rRNA from 1 species
GAUGAACGCUGGCGGCGUGCCUAAUACAUGCAAGUCGAGCGAACAGACGAGGAGCUUGCUCCUCUGACGUUAGCGGCGGACGGGUGAGUAACACGUGGAUAACCUACCUAUAAGACUGGGAUAACUUCGGGAAACCGGAGCUAAUACCGGAUAAUAUAUUGAACCGCAUGGUUCAAUAGUGAAAGACGGUUUUGCUGUCACUUAUAGAUGGAUCCGCGCUGCAUUAGCUAGUUGGUAAGGUAACGGCUUACCAAGGCAACGAUGCGUAGCCGACCUGAGAGAGUGAGCGGCCACACUGGAACUGAGACACGGUCCAGACUCCUACGGGAGGCAGCAGUAGGGAAUCUUCCGCAAUGGGCGAAAGCCUGACGGAGCAACGCGGCGUGAGUGAUGAAGGUCUUCGGAUCGUAAAACUCUGUGAUUAGGGAAGAACAAAUGUGUAAGUAACUAUGCACGUCUUGACGGUACCUAAUCAGAGAGCCACGGCUAACUACGUG